UAUGCUUGUCUCAAAGAUUAAGCCAUGCAUGUCUAAGUAUAAGCAAUUAUACAGCGAAACUGCGAAUGGCUCAUUAUAUAAGUUAUCGUUUAUUUGAUAGUACCUUACUACUUGGAUAACCGUGGUAAUUCUAGAGCUAAUACAUGCUGAAAAUCCCGACUCCGGAAGGGAUGUAUUUAUUAGAUUCAAAACCAAUGCCCUCUGGGCUCACUGGUGAUUCAUGAUAACUCCUCGAAUCGCACGGCCUUGCGCCGGCGAUGGUUCAUUCAAAUUUCUUCCCUAUCAACUUUCGAUGUUUGGGUAGUGGCCAAACAUGGUUGCAACGGGUAACGGAGGGUUAGGGCUCGACCCCGGAGAAGGAGCCUGAGAAACGGCUACUACAUCCAAGGAAGGCAGCAGGCGCGCAAAUUACCCAAUCCCGACACGGGGAGGUAGUGACAAUAAAUACUGAUACAGGGCUCUUUUGGGUCUUGUAAUUGGAAUGAGUACAAUUUAAAUCCCUUAACGAGGAACAAUUGGAGGGCAAGUCUGGUGCCAGCAGCCGCGGUAAUUCCAGCUCCAAUAGCGUAUAUUAAAGUUGUUGUGGUUAAAAAGCUCGUAGUUGAACCUUGGGCCUGGCUGGCCGGUCCGCCUCACCGCGUGUACUGGUCCGGCCGGGCCUUUCCCUCUGUGGAACCCCAUGCCCUUCACUGGGCGUGGCGGGGAAACAGGACUUUUACUUUGAAAAAAUUAGAGUGCUCCAGGCAGGCCUAUGCUCGAAUACAUUAGCAUGGAAUAAUGAAAUAGGACGCGCGGUUCUAUUUUGUUGGUUUCUAGGACCGCCGUAAUGAUUAAUAGGGACAGUCGGGGGCAUCAGUAUUCAAUAGUCAGAGGUGAAAUUCUUGGAUCUAUUGAAGACUAACUACUGCGAAAGCAUUUGUCAAGGAUGUUUUCAUUAAUCAGGAACGAAAGUUAGGGGAUCGAAGACGAUCAGAUACCGUCGUAGUCUUAACCAUAAACUAUGCCGACUAGGGAUCGGACGAUGUUAUUUUUUGACUCGUUCGGCACCUUACGAGAAAUCAAAGUGCUUGGGCUCCAGGGGGAG
rnacentral:rRNA from 1 species